rnacentral:rRNA from 1 species
UACGGAAGGUCCGGGCGUUAUCCGGAUUUAUUGGGUUUAAAGGGAGCGUAGGCCGGAGAUUAAGCGUGUUGUGAAAUGUAGAUGCUCAACAUCUGCACUGCAGCGCGAACUGGUUUCCUUGAGUACGCACAAAGUGGGCGGAAUUCGUGGUGUAGCGGUGAAAUGCUUAGAUAUCACGAAGAACUCCUAUUGCGAAGGCAGCUCACUGGAGCGCAACUGACGCUGAAGCUCGAAAGUGCGGGUAUCGAACAGG